UUUUAAAAUGCUUUAUUUUAGGGGGCCGAAACUCUGAGCACCCAUUGAAGAAGAAAGCAGAGCCCCUCUUCCUGCGCCCUCAUUCCAGCCUUGCAUUCAGCCAGCUUCACCGGGAGCUAGGAGUCCACCAGCCUCAGCUCAGCCUUACCGCUCUGCCCCAGUUCCUUCUGUAAAGUGCAGAUCAGCCUCUCAGUUCCCUACACAGUUGUGUAGGGACACACAGCAAAACUGUACCCUAACGAAUCUUUAAAAUGCUAGCAAAUACACAUUACCGUCACCAGCCACCACCCAUCAUAACCAUAAUGAACUUCCUGAAGCCUCAGUAAAGGGCCCUUUAGCCACUAGAGAUGAUGGUAAUGUGGCCAGGGACAAGGGGAGGGGAGAAAGUUUUAAGCGGUCAUUGAUAUACCAAACAUUCAACAGACUAUUCUAUGUGGCUUACAUGCAUUCAAUAAAUGUGAUAAAUCAAUCCGCCAACAAUUCCACUUUCCAGAAUCUAUCUGACAAUCAUACCAGUACAAGCACUGCACAGGAGUUUGCUCUGUUUACUGCGGAAUCCUAAGUACCUAGAAGCAUACCUGGCAGCUAGAAGGAAAGCUAAUAAUACCAUUACAUAAAAACAAGACAUGCCACUACUGAAGGAGGAGAGCAAAACUGCCACACAAGCUAGAGUCACAGAGGAAAGAACCCCAAGAGGAGGCAGGCAGGAAGGAUGCGGGCCAUCUGGCUGGAGGAGCAGAGUGGAUCUCUAUAGUGUGGACAAGGACGGCGUGUUCCUGGGGUGCACCUGCAAGGCCGGGGCUACUGGCGGCCGCCAGGGACUGGGUGAGCGCACGGAACCGGCCCUCCCUCAGAGCCUCCGAAGGAACCAGCCCUGCCGGCUCCUGGCUCCUGGACUUCUGGUCUCCAUAACUGUGAGAGAAUACAUGCCUGUUGUUUUAAACCACCUAG